rnacentral:lncRNA from 1 species
UUGAACUGAAGAGAAGAUGGAGCUUGUACAAUAAUAGGGCAAGCUCUAGAAGAUGUCCAGAAGAGUUCAAUCAAGCUUCAGAAGUUAUUAGAAGCUGAUGCAAAGAAGAGACAAGAUCUAAGAAGUGUCUUGAAGGUGUAUACAAGACAUUGGAGGAGUUUGGGAGAUUAUGGUUGAUGGUGCAAAGAUAGGGAUCGGCCUGUACGGACGGACGUACGGAUGGUACGGACCGUACGGACAUGAUCAACCCAAAACUUAUCAGGUAGACCAUUUGAGCACAUUUGAGGAAUGUGCAAUCUUAGGGCACAAGGUGUACGGUCAUGACAUCCGUACAGCCAAGUCUGAUCAUGUCUUGGGAGACAAGGCAAGGAGAAGGGCGUGUGAGACUAUCCAAGGGAGAAAGAUCCAUUUGGCAUAUUCAAAGAUGCCUUAGGAAGCAACCAGGAAGGUGCCUUUCUCUCCAGCUCACACAGACCAAUCACAGCCAAGUAUUCAGUCCACAAGACAGCUCAUGACAGCCUGUAAAGGCCAGACUCGCCAAAGACUCCCAUUGGCCAAGCAUGUGAUGAUUCUGGUCCAUAGAAUUCAAAUGGGCGCUCCCCUUUAUGCUGACUUCACAUGCUUAGGUUAUCUGAUGAAUUCAGCCUCCAUUUAUGUAUUUAAGCUUCUUGUAAACAAUUGAAAACAUUAAGUGAGUAUGGGGGAUUUCCCCUCUCCUUCUCUAAUCUCUAAACACUUCUCUUAGUCUCUCAGUCUCUUAAUCUCAUUCUCUUUAGUCUCUUAAACACUUAAACACUCUCACCCAUCUCUGUUCUUAAAUCACCUAGAACUAAGCUCUCAUUUUUCUCCAUUGGAGUUUAUACACACAUACACACAACCAGAGUAGAGAUCUCUUUAAAAAUCAUAUGGUAUCAGAGCCAGGUUCAUUAGAACUUGGUUCUUGCUUCUGCUGAAGCUCAUAGCUCUCCUCCAUGUCGCUUGAAGCCAAGAAGAAGCUCCAUGGUCCAGCCGGCUGUUCUACUCUUCAAGAAGAAGGUGUGCUCAUCCAUGGUGUCCAGAAGCUGUCUCUGGCCGACCUACACUCUCUCAUGAAGCCCAUGAAGAAGAAAGAACCUUGGAAGCAAUGGUGUAUGAGGCGAUCUCAUCAACCAAGCUUCAAAGCUAUGUCCAAGCUAGGUCUUAUCCACUGUCCAAGAAGAAAGGUGAUAGCUUUCAGCUGGUACUGAUGUGGCGAACUCAACAUGAAGAAAGGUGGGGUCUUUGACAUGGAGAGUUCAAGAGAAAGGUCCAUGGGAGAAGGAGAAGUUGGAAUCGACACCAACAGCUCACUGUCUUGCCAUGUUCUAUGGAGUUUCAAGGAACUAACACUAGUUCCUUGGCUGUAAGAAACCUCUUUCUCUUGUAUAAAGCUUGAGUAUAUUGACUGGUUGUGAUGUGAUUGAAAACCUGAGAAUUGUUUAAAGAUUGCUAAAUGAAUACUUUUAGAAUCUGUCUCAGUAUGCUUAAAGAGCCUGGUUUGGUGAUUAAGAUUGUUAAUAUGCUUAGCUCCGAAUCAUAGUGAUGCUUGUUGUGAUUAAUUGAAUCUGCUUGCAUACAUGGAUUGAAACGGAAUUGAAAGCUGUUGCAUAUAGUCGUGUGGCUGUCUUCCAUUGAGGCAUUAGAUUCAUGUCUAAAUUGCUGAGUAAAGAAGCUUUUAAAAAUGCCUAAGUAACUUGUCUUGAAUCUGUUAGGAUCUUGCUUGUACUUAGAGAGUUAGCUUGCAAAGAAUAGAACUUGAUAAUGCCUUGUGUAUAUAUCUGUUGCAUUGCUUGUGAUAUUGGGAAUCAAACUUGAUAAUUUAUUAAUCAAGAUUUGACAUCAAUACUAUGGAAAAUGGUUAAAUGCUUAAUGUCAGCUCUAAAUUAAACUGUCUUGUUAAGGUGAUAGAUUAGAUUAUCUAAUCAUACUUGCUUUCAUGAGUUAGAAACUGAUUAAGAUUAAUGCAUACUGCCUUGUUGCUGCCUUGUAUUGUUGCAUUUAGAUUAAAGUCUAAGUUGCAUAUUAAGGAGUGAUUAAAAUUGCCUAAAUACUUUGACUUGAAUCUGAUAAGGUAUUGCUUAGUAUUUAGAGAAUGGUUGCUUGCAUAGAUAAGAACUUGACAUUGUCUUGAUUCUAUCUAAUGUUAUAAAGCUUGAGACAUUGGUGAUCAAACUUGAUGAAGUCAAGGAUUGAUCCCAAUGCAAUUGUGUCUUAUCUUGGCUAGAGUUUGAGUGAUGUUUCAGGUUCACAAAAGGUGUUCCUAGUUCAUCAUCAACUCCGAGUUUAAAGAGAAAGAAUGGUGUCCAUUGUGUGUGCAAUGGAGAAUUACUACAAGAAGGGUGAAGCGCAGAUGGUUGUGAAACCCACUUGAAGCUUACUGGUCUUCCUACUACCAUUGCAAGUAACUGAAGAAGAAGCCAACUGGGUCUAGGCAGUGGCGUGCCUAUUCAAGAGGGUGCUCAAACUAAGACAGAGCACUCUUGGCUGUGUGAAGAAGAAGGCUACUCUAUCAAGGCGGCUUCUAUUGUGAGGUGAUUGAAGAAGCAGCUGAAGCAUCCACAAGCAUUCCAUCAUAGUGGUGAAUUCAGAAGGGUGAUUGCAAUAAGAGAAGAAGAAGAAGUAAGGAUUCAAGUGGUAACAUUGAGAACCACUACUCAUCAUCUUAACCAAGGGAGUAAACCUAAUCUCAUCUAUCUUAAUAUAUCUUGAUAGGUUUAUCUCCUGACUAUACUAUGUGCUUGCCCUAAAUCCAUUAAGAGUUGAUAGCUUCUAGUAGAGUGUCUAGGCUAAUUGCACUGAAAUUGUUUUGCUGCUGCAUUGUCUUAUUGAUAGUAAGUAAUGUCUAGAGUCCCAGAAUCUCAUGGUCUGGUUAUUGCAUUAUCUUGGGUGUUGUCAUUAGCUUGAAUCAUCAUGAAUGUGUUGUAGAAUUGAGUAGAAUGUCUCUGCUACUUGCAUCAUGAUGGAUAAGUUAUGUUGCAUACAUAAGCAUAUCUCAUACUGUCUAAGUUCAAUCCUAGUGUUAUCUGAUGCUAGUGCCUAUGUUUAAUCCAUCAAUGAAAGUCUUGCAUCAAUUAGAAAUUGUCUAAGUUGCUUGCAUCAUUGGUUCUGAUUGAAACUGUUGUGCAUAGCUUUAAUAUAAAUCAUGGAUUGAACCUGUUGCAUUCAUAUAGCUAAUGCUUUAAGAUUGUGCAUUCAUGUAGUAAUGCAUUUAAAAAUGAGUCUAAAUUGCAAAUGUACUGAUGAAAGCUUGCAUUGAAUUUAGAGAACUUAAUAAUCAUAAUAACCUAGGAUGUCAAUAUGUGUCUAGAACUUGCAUAGUCAUUGUUAGAGAUAGAAAUCUACUUGUCUUGACUUAGGCUGUUCUGAUUGUUGCUAUGCCAUAGUUAAAUCCAUCAGUGAUGUCUUACAAGCAUUUAGAAGUAUGUCUAAGCUACUUGAAUCAUUGGCUGUGAUAGAACUAGUGAGCAUAAGCAUGAAUUGAGUCACGCUUAUUGCCUUGAUUGCAUAAGUAUCAUCUAGUCUUGUGUUCAUUUGAAGUGAAUCUGUUUCAUUCAUAGUUAGUGUGUAACCUAAUGCAUUCAUCUAUUGUUGCAUUUAAAAAAAAAAAAAAAAAAACAAAACAAACUGAAUUGAACCUAAAAAGAUCAGUGUAUCUUUGCAAAGCAUACAUUGUCUUUACAUAUUCUUGUCUUGAUUGUCUAGCUUGUUUCAAGUAUCAUAUAUUAUUGUGGCAUUGGUGAUCAAACAGGAUGGAUGAUCUUGGUUUGAUCCCAAUGGGAUGAUCUGAUCUUGCAUUGAGUUGUGGUGGUGUUAGGUACACAAGGGAAGUGAUACAUGUAACUCGCCAUCAACCAAGAAUGUAGAGACAAAGGUCUUGUGCCAUUGCAUAUCAUCACUUGGACAUGUUAGUCCAUAAUCUACAGGAAGUGUAGUGUGAUUGAUUAUGCAAUGAGAGCUGGCCAUUGCAUAAUACCAUUGGACAUAUCUAGUCCUUAGUCUACAGGAAGUGUAGCAUGGGUCAUUAUGCAAUGAGAGAUGUGUCUUGUGAGACUCUCUAUGGUGAUUCAAACACCCUAAUUCCUGGUUAAGGAAGAGAGAAAACUCACAAGAAGAAAGCUAUCAUAAAAGAUGAUAGUUAUUAGACCAUGGAGAUGCAUAGGAUCAUCACAAGCUUAGCUCCUUCUAGUCUCGGUUCUAAGCUUGAGGGGGAGUCUUAAUGCAUAUGAUCCAUGGUCAGUAACAAGUCUUUGCAAAGGCUUCUACAAGGAUCAUCAACCGGACCAAGUCAGUGGCGUGUCUAGGCAAGAGGCUGUUCAGAGCAGCCUUGGCGAGUGAGGAAGAAGGCUCUCCAUCAAUGCGGCUUCAAUGAGAGGUGAUUGAGGAGAAGCUGAUGAAUCCAUUCUGCCUUUCCAAGAAGUUGAUGAUGCCAUGAAGAUGGUGCAUUGAGAGAGUUUGGAAACUCACAAAAACACAAGGGAAGUUCCCUUAGACUUUUAAAACUCUUUUCAAUCUUUUUCAUUCAUCUUACUCAUUGCUUGUGCUUGAAAAGAUACUUAAGAUGAUUAUGAUUGAAUUGUGAGAUUGUGUGCAUCAAGUGUGAUGCAGGAUAUUCAUUUUCUUGUUUUUGAUAGGUACUGAUGCACCUUUGGGAUAAUGUAUCAGGUACCAUUGCUUGAGCCUCACUAAAGAUGUUCCUGGUCAGUUCCUAGCUUCUCUAAGAUGGCUGAGAAGUCUGUUGAGAGGGGGAGAUCCAAACCAGUUCUAUGAAGAGGGCAAGCCGUGUGUGAAGUGUUGAUCAGCCUCACUAGUGUUUUGAAGAUGAUCUGGUCGUGUCCUAGCUUCUCUAAGAUGGCUGUGAAGUCAGUUGAGAGGGGGAGACUUCAAACCGGUUCCAUGAAGAGGUGAAGCUGAAGUGUGAAGUGUGAAGUGUGCGCAAAGCUGUGAAGAGUUGCUGCACCUGUUAGGCCGUGAUCCAGAGCUUCUUGUGUCCAACCACACUGGUUCUAAGGCACAAGAGCUCACUGGCCAAUCCCUAGGCUUUGGAGAGCUCUACUCUUUUUCCCUUGCAAGGUUUUGUCCCAAUGGGUUUUCCUUGUAAGGUUUUUAAUGAGGGAGACUCUUCAGAGUUCCAAGCUUGGCUUAGGAUCUCCUAAAGUCAAGCUUGAGGGGGAGUGUUGAACUGAAGAGAAGAUGGAGCUUGUACAAUAAUAGGGCAAGCUCUAGAAGAUGUCCAGAAGAGUUCAAUCAAGCUUCAGAAGUUAUUAGAAGCUGAUGCAAAGAAGAGACAAGAUCUAAGAAGUAUCUUGAAGGUGUAUACAAGACAUUGGAGGAGUUUGGGAGAUUAUGGUUGAUGGUGCAAAGAUAGGGAUCGGCCUGUACGGACGGACGUACGGAUGGUACGGACCGUACGGACAUGAUCAACCCAAAACUUAUCAGGUAGACCAUUUGAGCACAUUUGAGGAAUGUGCAAUCUUAGGGCACAAGGUGUACAGUCAUGACAUCCGUACAGCCAAGUCUGAUCAUGUCUUGGGAGACAAGGCAAGGAGAAGGGCGUGUGAGACUAUCCAAGGGAGAAAGAUCCAUUUGGCAUAUUCAAAGAUGCCUUAGGAAGCAACCAGGAAGGUGCCUUUCUCUCCAGCUCACACAGACCAAUCACAGCCAAGUAUUCAGUCCACAAGACAGCUCAUGACAGCCUGUAAAGGCCAGACUCGCAAAGACUCCCAUUGGCCAAGCAUGUGAUGAUUCUGGUCCAUAGAAUUCAAAUGGGCGCUCCCCUUUAUGCUGACUUCACAUGCUUAGGUUAUCUGAUGAAUUCAGCCUCCAUUUAUGUAUUUAAGCUUCUUGUAAACAAUUGGAAACAUUAAGUGAGUAUGGGGGAUUUCCCCUCUCCUUCUCUAAUCUCUAAACACUGAUUCUCUUAGUCUCUCAGUCUCUUAAUCUCAUUCUCUUUAGUCUCUUAAACACUUAAACACUGUCACCCAUCUCUGUUCUUAAAUCACCUAGAACUAAGCUCUCAUCUUUCUCCAUUGGAGUUUAUACACACAUACACACAACCAGAGUAGAGAUCUCUUUAAAAAUCAU